CCUACGGGAGGCAGCAGUGAGGAAUAUUGGUCAAUGGGCGGAAGCCUGAACCAGCCAAGUAGCGUGCAGGAUGACGGCCCUACGGGUUGUAAACUGCUUUUAUACGGGAAUAACGCGCCUUACGUGUAGGGCUUUGCAUGUACCGUAUGAAUAAGGACCGGCUAAUUCCGUGCCAGCAGCCGCGGUAAUACGGAAGGUCCGGGCGUUAUCCGGAUUUAUUGGGUUUAAAGGGAGCGUAGGCCGCAUGUCAAGCGUGCGGUGAAAUGUCCGGGCUCAACCCGGGCCUUGCAGCGCGAACUGGGGUGCUUGAGUCAGCGGAAAGCAGGCGGAAUUCGUCGUGUAGCGGUGAAAUGCUUAGAUAUGACGAAGAACCCCGAUUGCGAAGGCAGCUUGCUGCAGCGGAACUGACGCUGAUGCUCGAAAGCGCGGGUAUCGAACAGGAUUAGAUACCCGGGUAGUC
rnacentral:rRNA from 1 species